UAGAGCCUUACAAAGAUCUACAUCCCAGUGAUCACACAAUAUAUGGUUGUGUUUGACCAACCUACCUGUCCUUAUGAAGAUGUUGUGGAAGAGAGACGAUCACCAUAAAUACGAGAGAGAAGCAAAAUGGGAUUUAUAUGCGCACUCUGACUGGACAAUUCCAUGAUCAUUUUCAGUGCCAAUACUUCAUGUUCAAAAAGAGUGAAUCCAUCAAAGGGCACUUAAGGAUAUGG